rnacentral:rRNA from 1 species
CGCUGGCGGCAGGCCUAACACAUGCAAGUCGAGCGGUAGAGAGGUGCUUGCACCUCUUGAGAGCGGCGGACGGGUGAGUAAUGCCUAGGAAUCUGCCUGGUAGUGGGGGAUAACGCUCGGAAACGGACGCUAAUACCGCAUACGUCCUACGGGAGAAAGCAGGGGACCUUCGGGCCUUGCGCUAUCAGAUGAGCCUAGGUCGGAUUAGCUAGUUGGUGGGGUAAUGGCUCACCAAGGCGACGAUCCGUAACUGGUCUGAGAGGAUGAUCAGUCACACUGGAACUGAGACACGGUCCAGACUCCUACGGGAGGCAGCAGUGGGGAAUAUUGGACAAUGGGCGAAAGCCUGAUCCAGCCAUGCCGCGUGUGUGAAGAAGGUCUUCGGAUUGUAAAGCACUUUAAGUUGGGAGGAAGGGCAUUAACCUAAUACGUUAGUGUUUUGACGUUACCGACAGAAUAAGCACCGGCUAACUCUGUGCCAGCAGCCGCGGUAAUACAGAGGGUGCAAGCGUUAAUCGGAAUUACUGGGCGUAAAGCGCGCGUAGGUGGUUCGUUAAGUUGGAUGUGAAAUCCCCGGGCUCAACCUGGGAACUGCAUUCAAAACUGUCGAGCUAGAGUAUGGUAGAGGGUGGUGGAAUUUCCUGUGUAGCGGUGAAAUGCGUAGAUAUAGGAAGGAACACCAGUGGCGAAGGCGACCACCUGGACUGAUACUGACACUGAGGUGCGAAAGCGUGGGGAGCAAACAGGAUUAGAUACCCUGGUAGUCCACGCCGUAAACGAUGUCAACUAGCCGUUGGGAGCCUUGAGCUCUUAGUGGCGCACGUAACGCAUUAAGUUGACCGCCUGGGGAGUACGGCCGCAAGGUUAAAACUCAAAUGAAUUGACGGGGGCCCGCACAAGCGGUGGACGAUGUGGUUUAAUUCGAAGCAACGCGAAGAACCUUAC